GUUGAAGACCUCAGUAAUGUUCUCAUAGCAGUCAAGCUGCACGCAAGGAACUCGUACUUAUCACUUGAACAGCACUAAUGGGACUCAUGCAGAGUGCUCAAGGAUCCAUCCAUAAGGGCAGUUGGGACUAACGCUGGUCCGUCUGCGUGCAUCUCCAUUGUGAGAGUCCGUGUCACGACCAUCAGUUAGUUCACAUUGUCUCCGUCUGGAGCCCCAGAGAACAUUCUGUUUUGGUGUCAACACGAUGGAGACACACCGCAGAUGGACUGAGCCCCUGGUUGUCAGGUCAUCUGCAUCGCCACCUUUUGUUGUUGUGUUUUUUUCACACUUUGGAUUUAUUGAUCCAGUUUUAUUUUCUGCUAUCAAGCCUUAACUCCUGCAUUUUGGGUUCCUCCCCACCAGCUCCUGACAGUAAACAGGCUGAACAGAUCCCUCAGUAUCUGUGACCUGACUCCCCCAUGUUAUUCAACAAAAGCUUUAGUAAGAUGUUGCUUUCAGUUUUAUUUUCUCACUUUUGCUUGUUUUUUACUUAUACUAGAAACAUCUUAUUCUUUAUUGAAUCUGACCAAAACCACAUUUACCCUGAGGUGACAGUAUGGAUGAUGGCUUCUGGAUACAUUCAGCAGUUCUUGAGAACUUUCUGCAUCAUCUGAGGGUUUUUUGUGUCAGUCUUUUCUGUGCAUCAACAUUUCAUUUUCUUGUCCUAUUCAGCUCAUUGUUGGUGGGUUUUGUGUGGGUGUUUGGGCAGUAUAUACAUGUGGUGUUAAUAGAAGUUUUUACCGUGUUUACCGUCAACAUCCCAAGGGUCACGGGUGAUGGUCAAAUACUUUGUUGUUACUGAAUUCUCUGGCAGCCUUGGUACAGCUCAGCUAGGUAAUAUUGUUCAAGGUGUAUACUGUCAUGUCUAGUACAACUUUGGGUUUUUUAACACGACAUCUAUUUUCAACCAGUCAAUUGAAUAAAAACAUUCAUAUCCUGGCUUCUUCUCCUCGUGCAUGUCGUGGUUUUU